rnacentral:tRNA from 1 species
GCAGUUGUGGCGAAACUGGUAGACGCGCAGGAUUUAGGUUCCUGUCUCCCGCGAGGUGAGGGUUCGAGUCCCUUCAACUGCA